rnacentral:lncRNA from 1 species
AAGAGUCUGUGCAGCCUGCUUUAGGCCUGGCAGUGGCAGAACAGUCCCUCCUGUUGGGGUGUCUGAAAAAGGACAAUUAAGGUUGAAGUGCCACAUUCAUGAAAUCAAUGAUUUGGACAACUUUGGCCAAGUGUGGACAACUAUCACUAUUUUGUCAUGCUUUGCGUUUAGCAGAUGAAGAGGUUGUGACACUAAACCAUAACUUACCUGUGAUGAGCCAGGGCCUCAGCAUGCCUCCACUGAGACAGGAGACCUUGAGGAACACCAAAAAUGGUCAUAAUUUCUUGGUAGCUAUGAUAGAGCCAUAGCCAGAUGGUCUCUAAGCCCAUGGUAAACAUGCCCAAGGUGAGUCUCAGCUCUGCCUUGUGAUGUGGGGGUUGUCAACUGUUCACUGUAAGUCUAAUUUCAUCACAUGCAGAAGGCAAGACUGUGCAAAGCCAUUCUAGGAACCCUGCAGUAACUCAAAGGUGUAUCUGAUCUUAGCUUUUGGUGAAGUGAUCGAUAUCUUUGUCUCAGAGACCGCCAUAUUCAGAUCACAUUUCAGCUCUACACCUCACGGGCUUCAUGACAUGAGUAAAUGCCUUAAUCUCAUUGCAAUUCAAUUUAUUUAUCUAUGACAUGGAGAUAGCAAAAGCACUCAGGGACUGAUGAGCAGCUUAUAAAAAUUCACUCACACAAAAGCCUGAGAAGCACUUGACAAAGAAAUUCAUUGAAAAUGUUACCAAGUAUUUUAAUCUUCAAGCUGUAAGAUUUACACACGCGCGUGAGCACACACACACACACACACCACACACACACAGAGAGAGAAGAGAGAGAGAGAGAGAGAGAGAGAGAGAGAGAGAGAGAGAAUGAAGGAUAACAAACAUUGAAAUUAGAAAGCAGAGAAAUUCAGGAUCAGAGUGAAAAAUGCUGAAGAAAGCAGCAUAUUCUGUUACAGAAAAUGCACACUACCUCAAAUGUUCAUAUCUAGAUCAACCGAGUGUCCCAUGGAGAACUUCUCAAGCUCUUGUGCUUUGAGAAAACUGCCCAUGAGUGCUGCAGAAUUUUCUAAGUUUGCAGUCUGAAUUCAUCAGAGACCACAGAUCAAAAGUCUUUGAAUGGAUGAAUUACAGGGAGACAAAACUCAGCUCUCUUUGGGUACCAAUAUGAUAACUGCUUUUAAAAUCAGAAUUGUAUAGCCAAGCUAAUCCAGAAUCUACUUUUUGCCACACUAGGUUAAAGGUGUAUUAUUCAUCACAUAUUUUAAGGUUUCCUGGUAAUAACUAUUUUAUCUAUACUGCUAACAUUAAUUUGUAAUAGGGGCACUCAAGUUAAAUCAUUGGUACUUCAAGCAGAAUGAUUCUGUUCUGUACCAAAUGCUAUAUAAACAAGAGGCAGCAACAAAAUAAGACAAAUAAGAAAAACAUUUUUAUUGUUCUUGAUACUUUCUAAUAUGCUUAAUAUUUCUCUUAGGACUUUAAAGUGGGACAGUACAGACUUUCAACAAGUAUGUUGUUCUAAUGUAACGUUAUUUACCAUUUCUGAUAUUACUUGAACUUGUAGCCUGUAUUUAAUGUUUCAGUUAAUCUAGUACUUGAAUGUCUUACGACAGGUUCUCAUAUUUUCUUUUGAGACAAAAAGGACAGUGUAGGCUGGUAUGACAGCUGACUGUUGCCAAAUAAAGAGAAACUCAGAUGAUUGUGGCUGAAAAGA